rnacentral:rRNA from 1 species
GUUUGAUCCUGGCUCAGAACGAACGCUGGCGGCAGGCCUAACACAUGCAAGUCGAGCGGCACCUUCGGGUGUAGCGGCGGACGGGUUAGUAACGCGUGGGAACGUACCCUUUUCUACGGAAUAGCCUCGGGAAACUGAGAGUAAUACCGUAUACGCCCUUCGGGGGAAAGAUUUAUCGGAGAAGGAUCGGCCCGCGUCUGAUUAGAUAGUUGGUGGGGUAAUGGCCUACCAAGUCUACGAUCAGUAGCUGGUUUUAGAGGAUGAUCAGCAACACUGGGACUGAGACACGGCCCAGACUCCUACGGGAGGCAGCAGUGGGGAAUCUUAGACAAUGGGCGCAAGCCUGAUCUAGCCAUGCCGCGUGAGUGAUGAAGGCCUUAGGGUCGUAAAGCUCUUUCGCCAGAGAUGAUAAUGACAGUAUCUGGUAAAGAAACCCCGGCUAACUCCGUGCCAGCAGCCGCGGUAAUACGGAGGGGGUUAGCGUUGUUCGGAAUUACUGGGCGUAAAGCGCACGUAGGCGGAUCAGAAAGUUGGGGGUGAAAUCCCAGGGCUCAACCCUGGAACGGCCUCCAAAACUCCUGGUCUUGAGUUCGAGAGAGGUGAGUGGAAUUCCGAGUGUAGAGGUGAAAUUCGUAGAUAUUCGGAGGAACACCAGUGGCGAAGGCGGCUCACUGGCUCGAUACUGACGCUGAGGUGCGAAAGUGUGGGGAGCAAACAGGAUUAGAUACCCUGGUAGUCCACACCGUAAACGAUGAAUGCCAGUCGUCGGGUAGUAUACUGCUCGGUGACACACCUAACGGAUUAA